rnacentral:lncRNA from 1 species
UCUGCAACAAUCAACUAUGUCAAAUUAUAUUAUUUUUUUGACUGGAAAAUAUACAAGACAAGUAACUCAAAAUGCGAAACAAAUUAUAAAACUAACAUAAUUCACUAUGACAUGUAAAUAAAAUUAAAAUUAUAAGCUUAGAAAGUAAGAAUUAUUUUUUAUUUAACUGCAAAAUGCAUAUACGUUUUUUUUUAUUACAAAGAUGGCUAACAUCCAACCAGACUACAAAAAAGCUAAACGAGGGCGGUAACCCCAAAUUGUCUGCCAUCAUGAUAUCCCUAUAAAAUCUCGAGGACAAUCAUCAAAAUAAACACAACCAUUUAUCAGAGAACAAUCAUGGUUGACUAAUGCAUCCGCCAUCUGAUUAGCUUCACAGUACGAAUGUUGCUAAACGCAUAUACAUUUAUUCGUCAAGCAAAACGGCAUUGCAUAUAAUGAACAUUGAGUAUGUGCACAAUCGAAGACAUUAGUACAAUUAUCACCUAUAAUGUAAAACAAUAAUAAAAUACUAUAAUUAAAAAGAAUUGGAAGAUUACGUAUAAGAUAAAAGAGACAGCAUGAAAAUGAAGAUAAAAUAGGCUUACUAGAGUUUGUUGCAACAAAAAGUAGGAAAAUUAAGAAAAUCAUAACAUUCACAAACUUGAGAAUCGUAGUCAUUUUUCUUCUUCUUUUGUAUAUAGCAAGCUAGCUAUACAAACUAUUUCAUCACUUUAUAUAAUAUA